GUCUGUAUGGCCGAGUGGUCUAAGGCGCCAGACUAAAAUUCUGGUUUCAAUUGGAGGCGUGGGUUCAAAUCCCACUUCUGACA
rnacentral:tRNA from 1 species